ensembl:lncRNA
AUUUAUUAACAAAAGCUGAGUGCUCGAAAUGGGUGCCAGAAAGAAGCCCACCGGGCUGAAGCAAAAUCCCCUCAUUACUGCUGGACAAACACUCAAGAAAAGUGGUUGGGAAGUAAGUCCAUAGCUCCGCCUUCCAAGUGACAGAUCUUCAGGACUUGCCCUUCCUUUCAGAUGGGAAGCUCAGACCUACACCCCGCACUCUGCUGUGCCAGCACCUGACCAGGACAAGAACGCAGUGUAUCCACUGAGCGUGAGCUCUGCUCUUUUAGAAGAUGGGCCUGGUGCUAGACUUCCCAAGUCACCUCCAGGGCUGUAAUUGGAGUUCAUAUUAUGGUCUACAGAACACUGAAGCAUGAAAACUUGAAGAAUUCAAAGCAGAGGUACAGAAAAAACAGGCAGCAAUGAAGUAUGUGGCUCUUAGUACUUUAGGAGAGGCCGUUGAGCAAGACCUCCUUUGGAAUGUGGUUUGGCUGUUAAUUCUUGAUUUUGCUAGCUGUUGUGUUGCUUCAGACUUUUCAGAAGUGUGUACAUAUCUAUGUUUGAAGGACUGUGGAAGGAUCCAACUGAAUCUUGCUUUGCCAGCUAGGGUUCAAAGGCUGAACUGCAAACUGUAGUUCUGAAAUGUGCCUCAGCCAUUAACUCAAGUCAGAAAUGUUACCUUUGCACACCUGUCCUAAGUAUACAGAAGAAAAACAUCAAAAAUUUUAACACAGUGGAAUUUUAUGAUCAUCCCAUGCCAGCUGUUUCAUCUUUUGACUCAAACAAUCUAUCAUGGCCUCAGCCUAAAAAUGGAGAACAUUUAAGACUAUCUUUGUCAGGGUUGAAACAAACUGUAGAAAGUAAAGUGUUCCUUUAUGAUGAGAUACAUUAAAGCUGGCCCUUCAGUAACUUAAAGUUAAGACCAUUGAUCUUGGUUAAGGUUCAUAGGGAUCGAGAGCAUGCUGCUAACUACUAGUGGGUCUCAGUUGCCCAAAGGUAUUAAAGGAGUCAGAGUUCAGUUGCAGCUAAAAUUUCCUGUUUUCCUGGAUAUUACAAAGUAGCAGAUUUUAAAACAUGGUUAUAAGAUGGUUGCUCAAGAUGGAUUUUCAAGUAUGCUGUGAAAGGUCUGCACGUGCUUAACCUGAUGCUGUGGCCAAAUCACAUCAGUUCUUUGAUUAAAACAACAGUGCAGCAGUGCAGACCUGUUAAUUUAAGUUCUGCACAUCACAUGCCCAGUACGUCCAAGGGAUUUUAGAAAUCUGCGGCUUCCAAAAGAACAAGUUAUAGGGAAAAGGAGAAAAGCUGAUGAUGAUGGAGGCAAAGAUUUGCAAACAUUACCUGUGAUUAAAUUAUGGGACAGACAUAGACAUGGGAUGGAAGAAACUGCAAGAAACAAGUUCACAGGACUGAAGGGUUCCUGGAGGCUCUGAACAAGGUGCCAGACUGAUGGGGCUGCCUGCAUACACAUAUGAAAGCGAUACCAUGCAAGAGUCCACUGAUACCUAGGGAGAGAAAGAGGAGGAAACCCAACUAGUACUGAGGCCCUGUUAGAGAGUCUGCAGAGAUCAAGGACAUUCAAAGUUCUGUCUUGAAACAG